AUGGCCGCCGACACGUCGAAGCCGCUCUUCCCGGCGGCGCCGCACGCCUCCCUCCUCCCGUCCCACGGCAACGCCAACCGCCUCUCGCCGGAGGCCGCCUACUGGCGCAACUUCCGCUCCUCCACGCUCGACACGGGCUCCACCGCCUUCUCCGUCACCCACCUCGCCUUCUCCCCGGCGCGCGCCCGGCCCACGCUCGCCGCCGCCUGGUCCUCCGCCGUGCACCUCUUCGCCGGCGACCCGCUCGCGCCGCGGCCCAAGGUGACCGUCUGCAAGGACGCCGCCGCCUACUCGCCCUCCUUCCGCUGCGACGGCGCGCUGCUCGCCGCCGGCGACGGGCGGGGCGUCGUGCGCGUCUUCCGCGUCGACAAGCCCACCGCGGGGCCCCUCCGGACCCUCUCCGCCCACGCCGCCCAGACCCGCGUCGUCCGCUACCCCGAGGCCGGCGGCGACAAGGUCCACCUCCUCACCGCCGGGGACGACGCGCUGCUCGCCUACUGGGACGUCCCCUCCGAGACGCCCGUCUUCACCGUCCCCGCCGCGCACCGCGACUACAUCCGCGCCGGCGCGCCCUCCCCCGUCGACCACAACCUCUUCGCCACAGGCUCCUACGACCAGAGCGUCAAGCUGUGGGACGCCCGCACCGGGAAGGCCCCUGCUUUGACCUUCUCCCACGGCGCCUCGGUGGAGAGCGUGCUCUUCCUGCCGUCCGGCGGGCUGCUUGCCACGGCCGGAGGUACCACGGUGAAGAUUUGGGAUGUGAUUGGUGGUGGUCGGCUCGUGCACUCGGUGGAGAGCCAUGUCAAGACGAUUUUUGCGCUCGCGCUCGGGAAGAUGGGCGCCACCGGGGAAACCCGGCUGCUUAGCGCAGGGAGUGAUGGUUAUGUCAAGUGCUUUGAUUAUGGGGAGCUCAAGAUGACACACUCGAUGCGGUAUCCCAAGGAACUGCUGUCCGUGGCUUGCUCACCGUGUGGGACGGUGCUUGUUGCCGGGUCUUCAAAGGGAGACAUCUUUGUGCGCAGAAGGAAGAAGAAUGCAACAGAGGAGGAGGAAGAGGAGGUUGUAGGCAGCGAGUUCGCUUGGACAAUGCCCAAGCCAGAGAAGCAGGCGCUCAAACCGAGCUACUACAGAUACUUCCUCCGCGGCCAGAAUGAAAAGGCCAAGGAGGGCGACUUCGUGAUUUCAAGGCCCAAGAAGGCGAAGUUCGCAGAGCACGACAAGCUGCUGAGGAAGUUCAGGCACAAGGACGCUCUGGUUUCAGCAUUAGCCAAGAACAAUCCGAGGAGCGUCGUGGCGGUGAUGGAGGAGCUGGUCGCGAGGAGGAAGCUGGUGAGAUGCAUCGGGAAUCUGGACGUGGCCGAGCUCGGGCUUCUCCUCGACUUCCUGCAUCGCAACGCGACCCUGCCGAGGUACGCAAGGCUGUUGCUUGGGGUGGCGAACAAGGUGCUGGAGAUGCGCGCGGAGGAUAUCAUAAGCGAGGAUGGGGGGAAGCUGAGGGGGUGCAUCAGGAACCUUAAGCGGAUGGUCGUGGAGGAGAUUAAGAUACAGCACACGCUGCAGGAGAUCCAGGGGAUGAUAUCUCCCAUGCUCGCGCUUUCUGCGAGUAGAUUAGAGUGA
rnacentral:rRNA from 1 species